UAUAAAGCUGCGAUGAGUGGUGAUUGGGAGAUGGCUAUGCACAACCAGCCAAUAACAGCAAGGAUCAAUAAGCGUGGGGAGACUGCUCUCCAUAUUGCAACUGCAGCAAACCACACUCAUUUUGUGGAAAAGCUUGUUGAAAUGAUUGCUCCAAACAAUAUGGAGCAUUUAGCUAUUAAAACUGUGCGCCCACCCCCUGUCACAGCAAUAACUCCAACUGCAAUUGCACCUCAAGCUUCAGCUCUAGGUGAUGUCAUAGGUGCAGGCGCAACUGCAUUCAGUAUACAAGAGGACCCAUCCAUAAGCAGGACUCAAGCAGCAGUCACAGUAAAUUUAGGGCGACGAGCAGAGCACAGAAUCCAAGCUGCAGCUGUAGCUCCACAACCUCAGGAACCAGCCUCACAACCACAGGAGCAAAGAAAUACAACUCCAGCCGCAAUUGCACCUCAAGCCGUAGGUGCAGCCCCAACUGCAGGGCAAAUAGUGGAGGACCCAACCAUGGGCAGAGCUCAAGCUGCAGCUGCAUUAGCAUUUGCAGCCGCAAACGCAAUUGCAGCUCAACAAGAAAAUGCCCAAGUCACAACUGUAGUUACUAUCCUUGCUCCGGCUGCAGCCCCACAACCAAAGGACACAGCCCCAAAACCAGUGGACACAGCCUCACAAUCAGUGGAGCAAGGAAAUACAGCUUUUUGUUAUGCUGCUAUUUCUGGAAAUGUGAAAAUUGCUAAAAUUAUGAAGGAUAAGAAGAAUGAUUUGCCAAGGAUCCGAGGUAGACAAAAUUGCUUACCAAUUUAUUUGGCGGCUUUGGCUGGCCAUGAACAAAUGGUGCGGGAACUGUACGAG
rnacentral:misc_RNA from 1 species